rnacentral:rRNA from 1 species
UUAAAUGGCCGCGGUAUUUUGACCGUGCUAAGGUAGCAUAAUCAUUAGUUUUUUAAUUGAAAACUGGAAUGAAAGGUUGGAUGAAAAAAAAACUGUCUUUGUUAAAAUUUUAUAGAAUUUUAUUUUUAAGUUAAAAAGCUUAAAUAAAAUUAAAAGACGAGAAGACCCUAUAGAGUUUUAUAAUUAUUUUAAUUAUAUUUUUAGAAUAUAUUUAAUAGUUAAGAUUAAUUAUUAAAUUGGGGUGAUUAAAAAAUUUAAUUAACUUUUUUUUAUAUAAAUAUAAAUUAAUAAAUAAUUGAUCCAAAGAUUUUGAUUAUAAGAUAAAGUUACCUUAGGGAUAACAGCGUAAUUUUAUUAGAGAGUU